rnacentral:rRNA from 1 species
GUAGCGGUGAAAUGCGUAGAUAUUUGGAGGGAACACCAGUGGCGAAGGCGACUUUCUGGUCUGUAACUUGACACUGAGGGCGCGAAAGCAUGGGGAGCAAAACAGGAUUUAGAUACCCUGGUAGUCCACGCCGUAAAACGAUGAGUGAUAAGUGUUUAGAGGGUUUCCGCCCUUUUAGUGUUGCAGCUAACGCAUUAAAGCACUCCGCCUGGGGAGUUACGGUCGCAAGACUGAAACUCAAAGGAAUUGACGGGGGCCCGCACAAGCGGUGGAGCAUGUGGUUUAAUUCGAAGCAACGCGAAGAACCUUACCAGGUCUUGACAUCCUCUGACAACCCUAGAGAUAGGGCUUUCCCCUUCGGGGGACAGAGUGACAGGUGGUGCAUGGUUGUCGUCAGCUCGUGUCGUGAGAUGUUGGGUUAAGUCCCGCAACGAGCGCAACCCUUGAUCUUAGUUGCCAGCAUUCAGUUGGGCACUCUAAGAUGACUGCCGGUGACAAACCGGAGGAAGGUGGGGAUGACGUCAAAUCAUCAUGCCCCUUAUGACCUGGGCUACACACGUGCUACAAUGGACGGUACAAAGGGCAGCGAGACCGCGAGGUUGAGCCAAUCCCAUAAAACCGUUCUCAGUUCGGAUUGCAGGCUGCAACUCGCCUGCAUGAAGC